rnacentral:rRNA from 1 species
UACGUAGGGGGCAAGCGUUGUCCGGAUUUAUUGGGCGUAAAGAGCGUGUAGGCGGCCAGAUAGGUCCGUUGUGAAAACUCAAGGCUCAACCUCGAGACGCCGAUGGAAACCAUUUGGCUAGCGUCCGGAAGAGGAGAGUGGAAUUCCUGGUGUAGCGGUGAAAUGCGCAGAUAUCAGGAAGAACACCCGUGGCUAAGGCGGCUCUCUAGUACGGUACUGACGCUGAGACGCGAAAGCGUGGGGAGCGAACAGG